AACGAGCGCUGGCGGCAGGCUUAACACAUGCAAGUCGAACGCUCGUAGCAAUACGGGAGUGGCGGACGGGUGAGUAACGCGUGGGAACGUGCCCUGAGGUACGGAAUAACUGAGGGAAACUUCAGCUAAUACCGUAUGAGCCCCGAGAGGGGGAAAGAUUUAUCGCCUUGGGAGCGGCCCGCGUCGGAUUAGCUAGUUGGUGGGGUAACGCCCACCAAGGCUUCGAUCCGUAGCUGGUCUGAGAGGACGAUCAGCCACACUGGGACUGAGACACGGCCCAGACUCCUACGGGAGGCAGCAGUGGGGAAUCUUGCGCAAUGGGGGCAACCCUGACGCAGCCAUGCCGCGUGAACGAUGAAGGCCUUAGGGUUGUAAAGUUCUUUUACCCGUGACGAUGAUGACGGUAACGGGGAUAAGCUCCGGCUAACUUCGUGCCAGCAGCCGCGGUAAU
rnacentral:rRNA from 1 species